rnacentral:rRNA from 1 species
GACGAACGCUGGCGGCGUGCCUAAUACAUGCAAGUAGAACGCUGAAGAGAGGAGCUUGCUCUUCUUGGAAGAGUUGCGAACGGGUGAGUAACGCGUAGGUAACCUGCCUUGUAGCGGGGGAUAACUAUUGGAAACGAUAGCUAAUACCGCAUAACAAUGGGUGACCCAUGUCAUUCAUUUGAAAGGGGCAACUGCUCCACUACAAGAUGGACCUGCGUUGUAUUAGCUAGUAGGUGAGGUAACGGCUCACCUAGGCGACGAUACAUAGCCGACCUGAGAGGGUGAUCGGCCACACUGGGGCUGAGACACGGCCCAGACUCCUACGGGAGGCAGCAGUAGGGAAUCUUCGGCAAUGGGGGCAACCCUGACCGAGCAACGCCGCGUGAGUGAAGAAGGUUUUCGGAUCGUAAAGCUCUGUUGUAAGAGAAGAACGAGUGUGAGAGUGGAAAGUUCACACUGUGACGGUAUCUUACCAGAAAGGGACGGCUAACUACGUGCCAGCAGCCGCGGUAAUACGUAGGUCCCGAGCGUUAUCCGGAUUUAUUGGGCGUAAAGCGAGCGCAGGCGGUUAGAUAAGUCUGAAGUUAAAGGCUGUGGCUUAACCAUAGUACGCUUUGGAAACUGUUUAACUUGAGUGCAAGAGGGGAGAGUGGAAUUCCAUGUGUAGCGGUGAAAUGCGUAGAUAUAUGGAGGAACACCGGUGGCGAAAGUGGCUCUCUGGUCUGUAACUGACGCUGAGGCUCGAAAGCGUGGGGAGCAAACAGG